GGCUUGCGUCAAGGACAUUGGGGGGAAGGGGCCCUUAUUUCCCGUUUUGAACCUCGUGAAGGGUGGGUCCUGCGCCUGCGCUGGUGACUCCUGCAAGUGCGAGGGAUGCAAAUGCACCUCCUGCAAGAAAAGCUGCUGCUCCUGCUGCCCCCCUGAGUGCGAGAAAUGCGCCAAGGACUGCGAGUGCAAAGAGGCAGCGGG